AGAGUUUGAUCCUGGCUCAGGAUGAACGCUAGCGGCAGGCUUAAUACAUGCAAGUCGAGGGGCAGCGCGGGUAGCAAUACCUGGCGGCGACCGGCAAACGGGUGCGGAACACGUACGCAACCUUCCCAAAACUGGUGAAUAGCCCUCCGAAAGGAGGAUUAAUACACCGUAACAUAACGAAGAGGCAUCUCUUUGUUAUU
rnacentral:rRNA from 1 species